rnacentral:rRNA from 1 species
CUUCCAACCCCCCCUUCAUUGUGAACUUUUGGUGCAAGUCAAGCUAAAGCCCCUAUCUAGAUAGGGGCACUGCCCCUAUUCAAUUAGGGGUAUUAGCCUUGCAAACCAAACUUUUUCAUAUACACAACCACUACACAUGUUACUAUGCAUGACCUAUACAAUAAAAAUAACUUUCAGCAACGGAUCUCUUGGCUCUCGCAUCGAUGAAGAACGCAGCGAAAUGCGAUAAGUAAUGUGAAUUGCAGAAUUCAGUGAAUCAUCGAAUCUUUGAACGCACCUUGCACCUCUUAGCAUUCUGAGAGGUACACCUGUUUGAGUGUCAUUAAUACUACUCCCUACAACCUCUUCAAUAGAGGAAUGUUGUAGAGGGAUUUGGGAGUCUGUGCAGUGAAUAUACUGCUCUCCUUAAAUAAAUUAGCAGUGAUUAUUAUUAAAGAUCCCUUUGGUUGAUGUGAUAGUUA